AAAGUGGAGGCUAUUGUAACUGAAGAGAACUGGAAAGUUCCACCGUAGAAGGUAAUAGUCCUGUAAGUGAAACGAGAAGACCACGAGUUAUGAUCCAGAGUACCACGAGACACGUGAAACCUUGUGGGAAGCAGGGAGGACCACCUCCCAAGGCUAAAUACUACCUGAUGACCGAUAGUGAAGCAGUACCGUGAGGGAAAGGUGAAAAGAACCCCGGGAGGGGAGUGAAAUAGAACCUGAAACCGUGUGCCUACAACCGCUCAGAGCCCCUUAUGAGGGUGAUGAGGUGCUUUUUGUAGAACGAGCCAACGAGUUACGGUAUGUAGCAAGGUUAAGUACUUAAGGUACGGAGCCGAAGGGAAACCGAGUCUGAAUAGGGCGACUAGUUGCAUGCCGUAGACCCGAAACCGGGUGACCUAUCCAUGGCCAGGUUGAAGCGAGGGUAAAACCUCGUGGAGGACCGAACCACGUUGCUGUUGAAAAAGCAUGGGAUGAGCUGUGGAUAGCGGAGAAAUUCCAAUCGAACCCGGAGAUAGCUGGUUCUCUCCGAAAUAGCUUUAGGGCUAGCGUCGAGUAUGAGUAGUGGAGGUAGAGCACUGAAUGGGCUAGGGGGCAUAGCGCUUACCGAACCUUAUCAAACUCCGAAUGCCACAUACUUUGAGCUCGGCAGUCAGACUACGAAUGAUAAGAUCCGUGGUCAAAAGGGAAACAGCCCAGAUCGUCAGCUAAGGUCCCAAAGUGUAAGUUAAGUGGGAAAGGAUGUGAGAUUUCUAAGACAACUAGGAUGUUGGCUUAGAAGCAGCCAUUCAUUAAAAGAGUGCGUAAUAGCUCACUAGUCGAGAGAUCUUGCGCCGAAAAUGUAACGGGGCUAAACUUACCACCGAAGCUACGGGCUUGAACUUAGUUCAAGCGGUAGGAGAGCGUCGUAACCGGGCUGAAGUCGUACCGUAAGGAGCGGUGGACUGGUUACGAGUGAGAAUGUUGGCAUCAGUAGCGAGAUGUGGGUGAGAAUCCCACAGGCCGAAAACCUAAGGUUUCCUCAGGAAGGUUCGUCCGCUGAGGGUUAGUCGGGACCUAAGCCGAGGCCGAAAGGCGUAGGUGAUGGACAACUGGUUGAUAUUCCAGUACCACUACCAUCGUUAUUAUCGAUGGCGUGACGCAGGAGGAUAGUGUGUGCUAGCUAUUGGAUGCUAGUCUAAGCGUUUAGGCAGUGAGAGUAGGCAAAUCCGCUCUCAUAAUGCUGAGGCGUGAUGGGGAAGGUUCUACGGAACCGAAGUACAUGAUUCCACGCUGCCAAGAAAAGCGUCUAGAGAGAGAAGUAGUGCCCGUACCGCAAACCGACACAGGUAGGUGAGGAGAGAAUCCUAAGGCCGGCGGAAGAAUUACAGUUAAGGAACUCGGCAAAUUGACCCCGUAAGUUCGCGAGAAGGGGUGCCUACGAGAGUAGGCCGCAGAGAAUAGGCCCAAGCAACUGUUUAGCAAAAACACAGGUCUCUGCUAAAGCGUAAGCUGAUGUAUAGGGGCUGACGCCUGCCCGGUGCUGGAAGGUUAAGGGGAACACUUAGCGCAAGCGAAGGUGUGAACUUAAGCCCCAGUAAACGGCGGCCGUAACUAUAACGGUCCUAAGGUAGCGAAAUUCCUUGUCAGGUAAGUUCUGACCCGCACGAAUGGCGUAAUGACUUGGGCACUGUCUCAACUGUAAAUCCGGCGAAGUUGUAGUGCGAGUGAAGAUGCUCGCUACCCGCGAUUGGACGGAAAGACCCCGUAGAGCUUUACUGUAGCUUAGCAUUGAGUUUUGGUAUUGUCUGUACAGGAUAGGUGGGAGACUAGGAAACCAGGGCGUCAGCCUUGGUGGAGUCAACCUUGGGAUACCACCCUGACAGUACUGAAAUUCUAACUGGCGGCCAUGAAUCUGGUCACAGGACAUUGUUAGGUGGGCAGUUUGACUGGGGCGGUCGCCUCCUAAAAAGUAACGGAGGCGCCCAAAGGUUCCCUCAGAACGGUCGGAAAUCGUUCGAAGAGUGCAAAGGCAGAAGGGAGCCUGACUGCGACACCCACAAGUGGAGCAGGGACGAAAGUCGGGCUUAGUGAUCCGGUGGUACCUCGUGGGAGGGCCAUCGCUCAACGGAUAAAAGCUACCUCGGGGAUAACAGGCUGAUCUCCCCCAAGAGUCCACAUCGACGGGGAGGUUUGGCACCUCGAUGUCGGCUCGUCGCAUCCUGGGGCUGAAGUAGGUCCCAAGGGUUGGGCUGUUCGCCCAUUAAAGCGGCACGCGAGCUGGGUUCAGAACGUCGUGAGACAGUUCGGUCCCUAUCCGUCGCGGGCGUAGGAAAUUUGAGAGGAGCUGUCCUUAGUACGAGAGGACCGGGAUGGACUGACCUCUGGUGUACCAGUUGUUCCGCCAGGAGCACAGCUGGGUAGCUAAGUCGGGAAUGGAUAAACGCUGAAAGCAUCUAAGCGUGAAGCCAACCUCAAGAUGAGAUUUCCCAUAGCGUAAGCUAGUAAGAUCCCUUGAAGAACACAAGGUUGAUAGGUCGGGGGUGUAAGCAUGGUAACAUGUUCAGCUGACCGAUACU
rnacentral:rRNA from 1 species